AACGUAGGACGCAAGCGUUAUCCCGAGUUACUGGGCGUAAAGCGCGGGCAGGCGGCUUGUCAAGUGGGAUGUGAAAUCGCACAGCUAAACUGAGCGAGGCCAUUCCAAACUGAUGGGCUGGAGGGCAGUAGAGGUAGGCGGAAUUCCGGGUGGAGUGGUGAAAUGCGUAGAGAUCCGGAGGAACACCAGAGGCGAAGGCGGCCUACUGGGCUGCACCUGACGCUGAGCCGCGAAAGCCAGGGGAGCGAACGGG
rnacentral:rRNA from 1 species